rnacentral:lncRNA from 1 species
UUGCGCCAGAUGGAGAAGAGAGCAUUAAAUUUGUGGCUGAUUCAGCAAAAUUCUUCUCUGCCUCCGUACUGGAGAUUUGGAUAUCAGACUCGCAACAAUCACCUUGUGCUCUAACCACAGUGCUAGCACAUAAAUGAACAGUAGAAGCUGGAGAACCAGAAUCCAUGGGACCAAACCCGUCAUCAGUUUCUGUGCUCUAACCACAGUGCUAGCACUUAAAUGAACAGCAGAAGCUGGAGAGACAGAAUCCAUGGGACCAAACCCGUCAUCAGUUUUUUCCACUAUGCUCACACAUAUGCCAUCAUGCAGAUGUCGAUCAUGCCCGAUAGAUGAUUCCUGAUCAGCUUUUUCAACC